ACGAACGCUGGCGGCGUGCUUAACACAUGCAAGUCGAACGGAAAGGCCCUGCUUUUGUGGGGUGCUCGGGUGGCGAACGGGUGAGUAACACGUGAGUAACCUGCCCUUGACUUUGGGAUAACUUCAGGAAACUGGGGCUAAUACCGGAUAGGAGCUCCUGCUGCAUGGUAGGGGUUGGAAAGUUUCGGCGGUUGGGGAUGGACUCGCGGCUUAUCAGCUUGUUGGUGGGGUAGUGGCUUACCAAGGCUUUGACGGGUAGCCGGCCUGAGAGGGUGACCGGCCACAUUGGGACUGAGAUACGGCCCAGACUCCUACGGGAGGCAGCAGUGGGGAAUAUUGCACAAUGGGCGGAAGCCUGAUGCAGCAACGCCGCGUGCGGGAUGACGGCCUUCGGGUUGUAAACCGCUUUCGCCUGUGACGAAGCGUGAGUGACGGUAAUGGGUAAAGAAGCACCGGCUAACUACGU
rnacentral:rRNA from 1 species